rnacentral:rRNA from 1 species
AAAUCUUACCGGGUCCGGACACACUGAGGAUUGACAGGCAAUAUUAAUACGUUUUGCUUCGGUAAUCGUAUUAUGUUAAAUAUGCUAGUCCUUUCAUGAUUAUGUGAUAGGUGGUGCAUGGCCGUUCUUAGUUCGUGGAGUGAUCUGUCUGCUUAAUUGCGUUUCACUAAGGGCCUAUAAAUUUACGUGUGUUGCAUCGCACUUUGACCCCUUUCUUUAAUUAGAGAGCGCGUGUCUUAGUUUUCGCUUUGCUCAUACAAUUAGGUCCUGAAAGCAACGAACGUGACCGCAACCUCUUGUUGCCUUUAUACCAAACAUGUUUUGCGUCAAUUUUCGAAUUGCGCGCAUUUCAUGAAAAAAGGCUUUUUAAACUAGAGGGACCGCUGUUACUUCUUAAACCGGAGGAAGGUUGCGGCAAUAA